AAAUUGAAGAGUUUGAUCAUGGCUCAGAUUGAACGCUGGCGGCAGGCCUAACACAUGCAAGUCGAACGGUAACAGGAAGCAGCUUGCUGCUUUGCUGACGAGUGGCGGACGGGUGAGUAAUGUCUGGGAAACUGCCUGAUGGAGGGGGAUAACUACUGGAAACGGUGGCUAAUACCGCAUAACGUCGCAAGACCAAAGAGGGGGACCUUCGGGCCUCUUGCCAUCAGAUGUGCCCAGAUGGGAUUAGCUUGUUGGUGAGGUAACGGCUCACCAAGGCGACGAUCCCUAGCUGGUCUGAGAGGAUGACCAGCCACACUGGAACUGAGACACGGUCCAGACUCCUACGGGAGGCAGCAGUGGGGAAUAUUGCACAAUGGGCGCAAGCCUGAUGCAGCCAUGCCGCGUGUAUGAAGAAGGCCUUCGGGUUGUAAAGUACUUUCAGCGGGGAGGAAGGUGUUGUGGUUAAUAACCGCAGCAAUUGACGUUACCCGCAGAAGAAGCACCGGCUAACUCCGUGCCAGCAGCCGCGGUAAUACGGAGGGUGCAAGCGUUAAUCGGAAUUACUGGGCGUAAAGCGCACGCAGGCGGUCUGUCAAGUCGGAUGUGAAAUCCCCGGGCUCAACCUGGGAACUGCAUUCGAAACUGGCAGGCUUGAGUCUUGUAGAGGGGGGUAGAAUUCCAGGUGUAGCGGUGAAAUGCGUAGAGAUCUGGAGGAAUACCGGUGGCGAAGGCGGCCCCCUGGACAAAGACUGACGCUCAGGUGCGAAAGCGUGGGGAGCAAACAGGAUUAGAUACCCUGGUAGUCCACGCCGUAAACGAUGUCUACUUGGAGGUUGUGCCCUUGAGGCGUGGCUUCCGGAGCUAACGCGUUAAGUAGACCGCCUGGGGAGUACGGCCGCAAGGUUAAAACUCAAAUGAAUUGACGGGGGCCCGCACAAGCGGUGGAGCAUGUGGUUUAAUUCGAUGCAACGCGAAGAACCUUACCUGGUCUUGACAUCCACAGAACUUUCCAGAGAUGGAUUGGUGCCUUCGGGAACUGUGAGACAGGUGCUGCAUGGCUGUCGUCAGCUCGUGUUGUGAAAUGUUGGGUUAAGUCCCGCAACGAGCGCAACCCUUAUCCUUUGUUGCCAGCGAUUCGGUCGGGAACUCAAAGGAGACUGCCAGUGAUAAACUGGAGGAAGGUGGGGAUGACGUCAAGUCAUCAUGGCCCUUACGACCAGGGCUACACACGUGCUACAAUGGCGCAUACAAAGAGAAGCGACCUCGCGAGAGCAAGCGGACCUCAUAAAGUGCGUCGUAGUCCGGAUUGGAGUCUGCAACUCGACUCCAUGAAGUCGGAAUCGCUAGUAAUCGUGGAUCAGAAUGCCACGGUGAAUACGUUCCCGGGCCUUGUACACACCGCCCGUCACACCAUGGGAGUGGGUUGCAAAAGAAGUAGGUAGCUUAACCUUCGGGAGGGCGCUUACCACUUUGUGAUUCAUGACUGGGGUGAAGUCGUAACAAGGUAACCGUAGGGGAACCUGC
rnacentral:rRNA from 1 species